ensembl:lncRNA
CACAACCAUAACAUCGAGAAAUGUGAUGUACUGCGUCAAUCACGUUUACCCUAUUAAUGUACUGUCUCUUCAGUAAGUUCCUUUGAAACAUCAUCACAUCUUCAUCUUAAAUCUAGAACUGAGGAAGAAAUAGGACUCAAUUAAUGUGUGACAACAGAUCUCCAAAGAAGUAGUUCUGAUGGUAUAUCCUCAGCAGUGGUAAAGGAGAAUUACAACAUCAUUUAUUCUGACGCUGAGGAAGAGAAAAUCAAUCACCUUUAAGGUCAAACUCCUAGUUUAGAAAGUCAUGUUCAUCUCAAUGUUAUUAUUUGCCUGACUUACUUGUAUCUCACUUGUAUCUCAGGAUGGAACUUCCCCCCCACCUAGCGGCGAAAUCACAGACCAACACAAAAUGCGAGUGAGUAGCGACGGAUUGUGCAGCACGGUGAUGGCACGCCGAAUGGCUGACACUGUACGGAUUUGAUACUUGGGUUAUUUAUGUGACACUUCAAUAGAGACAGCCUUAAGGACUCAGCAGGACUGUGUGAUUUUACAGAACUUUUCUGUGGUUUUUGAUUUAUGUGCUCAUCCUUCAGACCGCUAAUUCACUUCAUGUCGAUAGUGGAGGGAAAGGAGAGGGAUGGGAAGAAUUUACUUUCUUCAGAUGCUUUAAAGGAAGUAGAAGAAUGUAAAGCUAUCAGUGCCUCAGUUGUUUGGCAGUCUCAUGGUCGUAAGUCACCUAGUGUAGUCUAUUUCCCCAUAUUGAGACUCUUUGCAUCUAUCUGAGUCUGUU